rnacentral:rRNA from 1 species
AACGAACGCUGGCGGCAGGCUUAACACAUGCAAGUCGAACGCCCCGCAAGGGGAGUGGCAGACGGGUGAGUAACACGUGGGAACGUGCCCUAAGGUUUGGAAUAUUCCCGGGAAACUGGGAGCAAUACCAAAUGUGACCGCAAGGUGAAAGAUUUAUCGCCUUAGGAUCGGCCCGCGUCGGAUUAGCUAGUUGGUGGGGUAAAAGCCUACCAAGGCGACGAUCCGUAGCUGGUCUGAGAGGACGACCAGCCACACUGGGACUGAGACACGGCCCAGACUCCUACGGGAGGCAGCAGUGGGGAAUCUUGGACAAUGGGCGCAAGCCUGACGCAGCGACGCCGCGUGAGGGAUGACGGCCU